ensembl:lncRNA
GUGUAUCCUCACCUCAUCAGUGUAUUAAAACCUCAUCAGUGUAUCCUCACCUCAUCCGUGUAUUAAAACCUCAUCAGUGUAUUAAAACCUCAUCUGUGUAUUAACCAUGUGCAGCAUUCGACAAAGAUUUAGUCCUACUGUAGAGUGCCCCAUAGUGGAGAAAGGAGGUCAAACCUAGUGUGUAGAUUCUACCAGCAGUCAGUCAGGUGGUCCUAGUAGUCAUAGCGUUGCGUCUCAAAUGGAAUCCCAUUCCCUAUAUAGUGCACUACUUUGAAACUUCAGAACCCACAGGGCUCUGGUCUAAAGUAGUGUACAAUAUAGGGAAUAGGGUGUCAUAGGGCUCUGGUCUAAAGUAGUGUACAAUAUAGGGAAUAGGGUGCCAUUUUAGAUGUACCACUAUUAUGCAAUCAACUCAUGUAAAAGUUAGUUACUGAGCUCCUCCUCAAUGACGUGGUGAUACAGAGGGAGGUCCUCCUCAGUGAUGUGGUGUUAGAGGGAGGUCCUCCUCAGUGAUGUGGUGUUAGAGGGAGGUCCUCCUCAGUGAUGUGGUGAUACAGAGGGAGGUCCUCCUCAGUGAUGUGGUGUUAGAGGGAGGUCCUCCUCAACGACGUGGUGAUACAGAGGGAGGUCCUCCUCAGUGAUGUGGUGUUAGAGAGGGAGGUCCUCCUCAGUGACGUGGUGAUACAGAGGGAGGUCCUCCUCAACAACGUGGUGUUAGAGAGGGAGGUCCUCCUCAACGAUGUGGUGUUAGAGGGAGGUCCUCCUCAGUGAUGUGGUGUUAGAGAGAGGUCGUCCUCAGUGACGUGGUGAUACAGAGGGAGGUCCUCCUCAGUGAUGUGGUGUUAGAGGGAGGUCGUCCUCAGUGACGUGGUGAUACAGAGGGAGGUCCUCCUCAGUGAUGUGGUGUUAGAGGGAGGUCCUCCUCAACGACGUGGUGUUAGAGAGGGAGGUCCACCUCAGUGAUGUGGUGUUAGAGGGAGGUCCUCCUCAACGAUGUGGUGAUAUAGAGGGAGUUCCUCCUCAGUGACGUGGUGUUAGAGGGAUGUCCUCCUCAGUGACGUGGUGUUACAAGAGGGAGGUCCUCCUCAGUGACGUGGUGUUAGAGAGGGAGGUCCUCCUCAGUGACGUGGUGUUAGAGAGGGAGGUCCUCCUCAACGAUGUGGUGAUAUAGAGGGAGGUCCUCCUCAGUGACGUGGUGAUACAGAAGGAGGUCCUCCUCAGUGACGUGGUGUUAGAGAGGGAGGUUCUCCUCAGUGACGUGGUGAUACAGAAGGAGGUCCUCCUCAGUGACGUGGUGUUACAGAGGGAGGUCCUCCUCAGUGACGUGGUGUUACAGAGGGAGGUCCUCCUCAGUGACGUGGUGUUAGAGAGGGAGGUCCUCCUCAGUGACGUGGUGAUACAGAGGGAGGUCCUCCUCAGUGACGUGGUGAUACAGAGGGAGGUCCUCCUCAGUGACGUAGUGUUAGAGGGAGGUCCUCCUCAGUGAUGUGGUGUUAGAGGGAGGUCCUCCUCAGUGAUGUGGUGUUAGAGAGGGAGGUCCUUUCUAACUACAGUAGAAAUAGUAGAAUGUCUUUGCUACAGUGUUCAUCCAUCAUCCAUCCAUCCAGCCAUCUAUCCAUCAUCUAUCCAUCAUCCAUCCAUCCAGCCAUCAUCCAUCCAUCCAUCCAGCCAUCUAUCCAUCAUCUAUCCAUCAUCCAUCCAUAUAUCCCUCCCUCCAUCCAUCCAGCCAGCCAUCUGUCCAUCAUCCAUCCAGCCAUCUAUCCAUCAUCCAUCCAUCAUCCAUUCAUUCAAUCAUCCAUUCAUUAUUCAUUCAUUCGUUCGUUCAUUCAUCCAUCCAUAUAUCCAGCCAGCCAGCCAGCCAGCCAGUCAGUCAGUCAGCCAGCCAGGUAUAUCUGCAGGUAGCAGGUUCUUCUCUUGCUAUCGGAAUGACAGUGAUGACAUCGAGCUAGUUGAAUCACACUGAUGAUGUCAUCAAGCUUCAGAGUCAACUGUGUACCCCUCCGUAUCUCCAUGGUAACCUCCUGCGGAGCCAGCAGGGCGUCCCAGACAGUCCCUCAGCUGCUCCAGUGGUUCUGCUACUCCUCAGUGACACAUCCCAGAAGUCAUCU